GAUGAACGCUGGCGGCGUGCUUAACACAUGCAAGUCGAACGGAAAGGCCCAAGCUUGCUUGGGUACUCGAGUGGCGAACGGGUGAGUAACACGUGGGUGAUCUGCCCUGCACUUCGGGAUAAGCCUGGGAAACUGGGUCUAAUACCGGAUAGGACCACAUUUUGGAUGGUGUGGUGGAAAGUUUUUCGGUGUGGGAUGAGCUCGCGGCCUAUCAGCUUGUUGGUGGGGUAAUGGCCUGCCAAGGCGUCGACGGGUAGCCGGCCUGAGAGGGUGUACGGCCACAUUGGGACUGAGAUACGGCCCAGACUCCUACGGGAGGCAGCAGUGGGGAAUAUUGCACAAUGGGCGCAAGCCUGAUGCAGCGACGCCGCGUGGGGGAUGACGGCCUUCGGGUUGUAAACUCCUUUCGCUAGGGACGAAGCGCAAGUGACGGUACCUGGAGAAGAAGCACCGGCUAACUACGUG
rnacentral:rRNA from 1 species